rnacentral:rRNA from 1 species
AUUGAACGCUGGCGGUAGGCCUAACACAUGCAAGUCGAACGAGUGGCGGACGGGUGAGGAAUACCUCGGAAUCUACUCUGUCGUGGGGGAUAACGUCUGGAAACGUACGCUAAUACCGCAUACGAUUGAAUGGGCCCAGGUCGGAUUAGCUAGUUGGUGGGGUAAAGGCCCACCAAGGCGACGAUCCGUAGCUGGUCUGAGAGGAUGAUCAGCCACACUGGAACUGAGACACGGUCCAGACUCCUACGGGAGGCAGCAGUGGGGAAUAUUGGACAAUGGGCGCAAGCCUGAUCCAGCCAUACCGCGUGGGUGAAGAAGGCCUUCGGGUUGUAAAGCCCUUUUGGUGGGAAAGCGGUACCCAAAGAAGAAGCACCGGCUAACUUCGUGCCAGCAGCCGCGGUAAUAC